rnacentral:rRNA from 1 species
UUUGAUCAUGGCUCAGAUUGAANCGCUGGCGGCACGGCCUAACACAUGCAAGUCGAGCGAGAAAGGCCUUCGGGCUGAGUACAGCGGCGGACGGGUGAGUAACGCGUAGGAAUCUACCUGGUAGUGGGGGACAACAUGGGGAAACUCAUGCUAAUACCGCAUACGCCCUAUGGGGGAAAGCGGGGGACCUUCGGGCCUCGCGCUAUCAGAUGAGCCUGCGUAGGAUUAGCUUGUUGGUGAGGUAAAGGCUCACCAAGGCAGACGAUCCUUAGCUGGUCUGAGAGGAUGAUCGGCCACACUGGUGACUGAGACACGGNCCAGACUCCUACGGGAGGCAGCAGUGGGGAAAUAUUGCGCAAUGGGCGAACAAGCCUGACGCAGCCAUGCCGCGUGUGUGAAAGAAAGGCCUUCGGGUGUCACAGCACUUUCAAUUUAGGGAAGACACGGUUGCGUAUUAACUAGACACGUAGCUGUGACGUUUACCUUUAGAAAGAAAGGCACCGGCUAACUUCCCGUGCCACAGCCAGCCGCGGUAAUACGGCAGGGUGCGAGCGUUUAAUCGGAAUU